UCGUCUCCUGCAAUACCUCUCAGAUACCUCUCAGGUCGAGCUUUCGUCGUCUCCUACAAUACCUCUCAGAUUCCGGCGAUUCUUUCUUCAAUCUCAUUUCCACUACCAAAUCUGAACAUCAACCGGACGGUCGGAAUCAAUGAAACUGUGUUAGUGUUCUUAAUUUGUUCCUUGUUGCAGUUUCUUAGUGACUUCUAUUUUUUUCCAUGUGAUCGUUACUUGUAAAUCAGAAAAG